CUGCUCCCUUUGCUCCAACAGGGCCCUGGACCCCCAACAGCCCGAGAUGAUUCUCUUUGCAGUGGCCCCAGCAGCCCUCUGAGAUGCAACGCAACAUCCCUGGUCAGCAGGGGCAGCCACCAUACUCCUCAGUGAUCCAGCCCAGGGCCCAUCAGUGCUUGCGGCCAAGACUUGGGCUGCCGAGGCUGGAAUGUGGCGUCUGAACAACCUGCUGUGCGCAGAGAAGGAAGAACAUGAAAACGUGAGCAAUGAAGCCAACAAUAACCCAUCAUUUAAAUCCUGCUUCUCACACUUUGUCUUGGAAACAAAAGUGAUCCAAGGAAUUCAUGCCCAGUCUCCACCCAACAGAACCCUGCUGAGGCAUCGAUGGCCUUGCAGAUCCUCUCCAGCAGGGCCUUCCAGGCUGGUGUGGUUCCUCCACCAGAAAUGUGAAAUCUUCUGUCACCAUAUACAUUUGGGAAAUGCCAGGAGCAUCUCCUCGGGAUUCAGCCCCAAAACGGAUGGGCAUGCGCACUGGGCAGGACCGAGCAGCGGAAGCUGAGUGCCAACGUGAGUGUAAGUGGUCGGGCCACCUGGCAAGCAUCUGGCAGCUUCCCCUGGAGGGAAGCACUCACCCGGCCUAUUAACCGGGACAAAUGAAAAUACAUGCCCCCCACCCCCGCCAAGGCCACCUGCCCUUGUUUGGACAAUCACCUGUCUGGACAAGGAGGCCAGCACGUCC